CAUAAAACAUGAUUGAUGAUAAAUGAUAACAAUGUUCACUUUUGCCAGAGAAAUUUUGAUAGAUAGGUGCUGACAACAUAAGCAAAUGCAUGUGUGCCACUUACCACUUUUUAUCAGUACAGAAGAAGAAGUAACAAACUCUCCUUUUGGUUAACAAAUGAACAACUUUCAAGACAUGUUCAAUAUUUGAGUGAACCUUUGUGUGUGAAGACAAGUAUUUGUUUGGUAAGGAAAUGAAAUUUGUGAUUACUUUGAUCCGGGAUGGGAGAUCGCGGUCAGGAAAAGCACGAUAUCACACAGUCAAACGAUCUCAUAUUCUCGGUCAAUUGAUACCCAAGGCACAAGAGCAUCUGGAUUUUGGACUUGUGAGAGAUCGGAAGAAAAAUGAUGGAACAAAAUAAAUUUGUGAAAUUGUUGUAUAUUAUGAUUAUGGGCCAAACACUCAACUAAAAUUUCCCUUAGUUUUCAUGUUCAUUUUAUUUUAACACUAUAGUUAAGAAUUCAUGUAUAUUUGUAAAUUGUAUAUUCUGGCAUGAGUGUGAAAAUAAUGCCACUUUAUACUAAAAAAUAAUGUAAGGACAGUAACAUAUUUAUGUGAAUAGCUUAUUGCUAAAUGAAUAUAAGAAUGU